rnacentral:rRNA from 1 species
UACGGAAGGCAGCAGUGGGGAAUAUUGCACAAUGGGCGCAAGCCUGAUGCAGCCAUGCCGCGUGUAUGAAGAAGGCCUUCGGGUUGUAAAGUACUUUCAGUCGUGAGGAAGGUGUUAAGGUUAAUAACCUUAGCAAUUGACGUUAGCGACAGAAGAAGCACCGGCUAACUCCGUGCCAGCAGCCGCGGUAAUACGGAGGGUGCGAGCGUUAAUCGGAAUUACUGGGCGUAAAGGGCACGCAGGCGGUUAAUUAAGUUGGAUGUGAAAUCCCCGGGCUUAACCUGGGAAUGGCAUUCAAGACUGGUUAGCUAGAGUCUUGUAGAGGGGGUAGAAUUCCAUGUGUAGCGGUGAAAUGCGUAGAGAUGUGGAGGAAUACCGGUGGCGAAGGCGGCCCCUGGACAAAGACUGACGCUCAUGCGCGAAAGCGUGGGGAGCAAAC